rnacentral:lncRNA from 1 species
UUUUUUUCUUUUCUUGUCUUUUUUUUUUUUUUUCCUAAUCAUGUGGACAUCUCUGAGAAUGAGGGGACUGGGUGACUUUGCAGUGUCUGCUUUCUAAGUUUCAAAGUGACUUUCCAGGCAAGCUGCGCAUAUCUUGGGAUCUUCACAGCACAGUGGCUGGGAAGGCAGGCGGACCCGUCUAUCAGCUUCUCCCUGGUGGGAUUCUUGCGGGGGCAGGGAUCGAGUCAAACCUUGGAAAUGACGUCAUUCUGAACUCAUCUGCCUUUAUCCAGAAGACUACCAAAGCAAACCAGAGGACCAGAGAACAGCAGCUGCUCUGGACAAAGAGGGGAGGACACCCACACCCACAUACCAAGUUCUGGUUGACUUCUACAGCAGAAGAAGCAGGAGACACAAGAAGCUUCAGGCCCAAAGCAACAGGGCCCACCAGCCAUAGACAGAACUGUCUGAAGCUGUGAGCCCAAAGAAAUUCCUCCAUCUUGUUUUCCUGGGACUCUGUCACACUGAUGAAAAGUUCUAUGAUUCUAGGCUUUAGUAAGAAGGCCUUCGGAAUCUCCAAAGAAACCAAACGUGUACGUGGGAAGAAGUGUACUUGGUUCGUGUGAUUAUGGAGUCUGACAAGUUCAAAAUCUUCAGUGAGAGCUGUCUGGCUGUAUUCACGAAGAACCGAUGCCAUACUGUCUGGCUGGCAUUAGAGCCCUCUGAUGAGUGUGGACAACGGUGGGAACAGGAGGAAAACAAAGCCCAGAGACACCAGUGGGAGAGACCGUGUCAGGGAGAGCAAGGAUGCUGUGUGAGCUGCAUGUGAGUUUUGUGAGUUAUGAGUCACAGGUGGCUCCAACCCUGCUUUCUGUCCUUCAGUCUCCCAUUCAGCACCCAACAGAAGAUGCUAGGCACCACUCUGCAUCCUCAAGGGAUAUCGUAUGAAGCAAGAGGCAGGUUUUCUUGGGUCCACAGCAACAUCAAAAAAGAGCAAAACGGACAUGCAAAUAAAUCUAUUUUAGCAUUUGAGACAGACGUCCAACUGAGGAACAUGAUCAGAAGAUGCCAGCCAGUAUAAACAUAUUUUGAAAAUAUGUAUUUCAUUUCUUAUAUAUGUACAUUUGUUCUCGUCGAAAA